rnacentral:rRNA from 1 species
AUUGAACGCUGGCGGCAGGCCUAACACAUGCAAGUCGAGCGGAGCGGCGGACGGGCGAGUAAUGCCUAGGAAUCUGACUGGUAGGGGGGGAUGACGUCCGGAAACGGGCGCUAAUAACGCAUACUAUCAGAUGAGCCUAGGUCGGAUUGGCUAGUUGGUGGGGUAAAGGCCUACCAAGGCGACGAUCCGUAACUGGUCUGAGAGGAUGAUCAAUCACAUUGGGACUGAGGUACGGACCAAGCGCCUACGUGAGGCAGCAGGGGGGAAUAUUGCACAAGGGGGGAAACUCUGAUGCAGCAACGCCGCGUGCGGGAUGACGGCCUUCGGGUUGUAAACCGCUUUCAGCCAUGACGCGGUAGUGGCAGAAGAAGCACCGGCUAACUACGUGCCAGCAGCCGCGGUAAUUC